rnacentral:tRNA from 1 species
CCAUCGGUGGUUCAGUGGUAGAAUGCUCGCCUGCCAUGCGGACGGCCCGGGUUCAUUCCAGGCCGAUGCA